UUAGGGGNGCCAGCAGUAGGCAGGUAAAAGGGAUCGGCAUGGCCUUCGCGUCCGGGGUGCGGGGGGUUUAAAGAGGGCCGCGCAAGAGCGGUGCCAGCCGCGGGGGUCAUACCGGCAGCCCGAGUGAUGGCCGUUUUUAUUGGGCUUAAAGCGUCUGAAGCUGUCCGCGCAGGUCCACCGGAAAAUCCACCCGCGCAACGGGGGGGCGCCCGGGGGAAACUGCUUGGUUGGGGACCGGAAGCCGCGAGGGGUCCGUCCGGGGUAGGAGUGAAAUCCCGUAAUCCCGAACGGACCGCGGAGGGCGAAAGCCCGUCGGAAAAACGGAUCCGACAGUGAGGACCGAAAGCCAGGGUUUCAAACCGGAUUAAAUACCGGGGUAGUCCUGGCCGAAAACAAUGCCGGCUAGGUGGGGCUCCCGCUACGAGGGGGGGCUGUGCCGCAGCUAAGCCGCUAAGCAAACCGCCUGGAAAGUACGCCCCCAAGAUAAAACUUAAAGGAAUUGGCGGGGAACCCAGAG
rnacentral:rRNA from 1 species